AAAACAAAAAGAAAAAAAAGAAAGAAACCCAUCAGGGUGGGUUUUGUUCUAACGUAGAGAGAGAGAGAGAGAGAGAGAGAGAGAGGCGGUGAAAAGAAGAGGAAGAAGAGUGUUUGAAAUCUCAAUUCAGUAGGUAACGAGCUGAGUAAUCGGGAGGUGCCAAAACCGUAAGUUGGCAUACUUUGGUCGACUCACAGAUAGCAAGGGUUUGUAGGAUGGUCCACUAUCGGUCGGCGUUUUGGGGUUGGCUUUGAGGAUGUUGAUUGUGUUGGUGGUAGUGAGUUGUCUUGUAUAUAUAAUCGACUCGUUUUGUAAAUGAUGUUUUGCACUUUAGUUUGCCAAGUAUGUAAAGUUAUGGGUAUAAAGUCGACUCUUUUAAUAAUAUUAAUGUUAAGUCUUCCGUUGGUUUA